rnacentral:misc_RNA from 1 species
UCCGGCUUAACGCCGGCGGUUUCCUUAGAGUGCCCAACUGAAUGAUGGCAACUAAGGACGAGGGUUGCGCUCGUUGCGGGACUUAACCCAACAUCUCACGACACGAGCUGACGACAGCCAUGCAGCACCUGUGUGGCAGCCAGCCGAACUGAAGGAAUCCAUCUCUGGAAACCAAACUACCCAUGUCAAGGCCUGGUAAGGUUCUUCGCGUUGCCUCGAAUUAAACCACAUGCUCCACCGCUUGUGCGGGUCCCCGUCAAUUCCUUUGAGUUUUAAUCUUGCGACCGUACUCCCCAGGCGGGGUGCUUAACGCGUUAGCUACGCCACCGAGACCUAGUGGUCCCAACGGCUAGCACCCAUCGUUUACAGCGUGGACUAC